AACGAACGCUGGCGGCAGGCCUAACACAUGCAAGUCGAGCGAACGUAGCAAUACGUGAGCGGCGCACGGGAGAGUAACACGUGGGAACCUACCUUUUGGUUCGGAAUAACGCCGGGAAACUGGCGCUAAUACCGGAUAAGCCCUUCGGGGGAAAGAUUUAUCGCCGGAAGAUGGGCCCGCGUUAGAUUAGCUAGUUGGUGAGGUAACGGCUCACCAAGGCAACGAUCUAUAGCUGGUCUGAGAGGAUGAUCAGCCUCACUGGGACUGAGACACGGCCCAGACUCCUACGGGAGGCAGCAGUGGGGAAUAUUGGACAAUGGGGGAAACCCUGAUCCAGCCAUGCCGCGUGAGUGAUGAAGGCCUUCGGGUUGUAAAGCUCUUUUGGCGGGGACGAUGAUGACGGUACCCGCAGAAUAAGCUCCGGCUAACUUCGUGCCAGCCGCCGCCGUAA
rnacentral:rRNA from 1 species